ACAUUGGUGGUUCAGUGGUAGAAUUCUUGCCUUCCAUGCGGAUACCCUGGUUCGAUUCCCAGCCCAUGCA
rnacentral:tRNA from 1 species